ACAAAACAUUAAUUGUCAAAAACACAUGGAAUCAAAAACUUGUUUUCGAUCGUGCGUACCACUCCGUUUGAAAAUACAUGCUCCGAAGUCCCGUUGUCCGAAUCAAACCUUUUAACUCCGGAGUUGGUCUUCCUUUACUGAUGACCUCCUGCUUUGACCGAAAAUCCAUAGUUGAAAAUCGUUUGGAUAUG